UCAAGUGAAUAAGUGCAUCAGGCGGAUGCCUUGGCGAUGAUAGGCGACGAAGGACGUGUAAGCCUGCGAAAAGCGCGGGGGAGCUGGCAAUAAAGCUAUGAUUCCGCGAUGUCCGAAUGGGGAAACCCACUGCAUUCUGUGCAGUAUCCUAAGUUGAAUACAUAGGCUUAGAGAAGCGAACCCGGAGAACUGAACCAUCUAAGUACCCGGAGGAAAAGAAAUCAACCGAGAUUCCGCAAGUAGUGGCGAGCGAACGCGGAGGAGCCUGUACGUAAUAACUGUCGAGAUAGAAGAACAAGCUGGGAAGCUUGACCAUAGCGGGUGACAGUCCCGUAUUCGAAAUCUCAACAGCGGUACUAAGCGUACGAAAAGUAGGGCGGGACACGUGAAAUCCUGUCUGAAUAUGGGGGGACCAUCCUCCAAGGCUAAAUACUCAUCAUCGACCGAUAGUGAACCAGUACCGUGAGGGAAAGGCGAAAAGAACCCCGGGAGGGGAGUGAAACAGAACCUGAAACCUGAUGCAUACAAACAGUGGGAGCGCCCUAGUGGUGUGACUGCGUACCUUUUGUAUAAUGGGUCAACGACUUACAUUCAGUAGCGAGCUUAACCGGAUAGGGGAGGCGUAGGGAAACCGAGUCUUAAUAGGGUGAUGAGUUGCUGGGUGUAGACCCGAAACCGAGUGAUCUAUCCAUGGCCAGGUUGAAGGUGCCGUAACAGGUACUGGAGGACCGAACCCACGCAUGUUGCAAAAUGCGGGGAUGAGCUGUGGGUAGGGGUGAAAGGCUAAACAAACUCGGAGAUAGCUGGUUCUCCCCGAAAACUAUUUAGGUAGUGCCUCGAGCAAGACACUGAUGGGGGUAAAGCACUGUUAUGGCUAGGGGGUUAUUGCAACUUACCAACCCAUGGCAAACUCAGAAUACCAUCAAGUGGUUCCUCGGGAGACAGACAGCGGGUGCUAACGUCCGUUGUCAAGAGGGAAACAACCCAGACCGCCGGCUAAGGUCCCAAAUGAUAGAUUAAGUGGUAAACGAAGUGGGAAGGCACAGACAGCCAGGAUGUUGGCUUAGAAGCAGCCAUCAUUUAAAGAAAGCGUAAUAGCUCACUGGUCGAGUCGUCCUGCGCGGAAGAUGUAACGGGGCUCAAAUCUAUAACCGAAGCUGCGGAUGCCGGUUUACCGGCAUGGUAGGGGAGCGUUCUGUAGGCUGAUGAAGGUGCAUUGUAAAGUGUGCUGGAGGUAUCAGAAGUGCGAAUGUUGACAUGAGUAGCGAUAAAGCGGGUGAAAAGCCCGCUCGCCGAAAGCCCAAGGUUUCCUACGCAACGUUCAUCGGCGUAGGGUAAGUCGGCCCCUAAGGCGAGGCAGAAAUGCGUAGUCGAUGGGAAACAGGUUAAUAUUCCUGUACUUGAUUCAAAUGCGAUGUGGGGACGGAGAAGGUUAGGUUGGCAAGCUGUUGGAAUAGCUUGUUUAAGCCGGUAGGUGGAAGACUUAGGCAAAUCCGGGUUUUCUUAACACCGAGAAGUGAUGACGAGUGUCUACGGACACGAAGCAACCGAUACCACGCUUCCAGGAAAAGCCACUAAGCUUCAGUUUGAAUCGAACCGUACCGCAAACCGACACAGGUGGGCAGGAUGAGAAUUCUAAGGCGCUUGAGAGAACUCGGGAGAAGGAACUCGGCAAAUUGAUACCGUAACUUCGGGAGAAGGUAUGCCCUCUAAGGUUAAGGACUUGCUCCGUAAGCCCCGGAGGGUCGCAGAGAAUAGGUGGCUGCGACUGUUUAUUAAAAACACAGCACUCUGCCAACACGAAAGUGGACGUAUAGGGUGUGACGCCUGCCCGGUGCCGGAAGGUUAAUUGAAGAUGUGCAAGCAUCGGAUCGAAGCCCCGGUAAACGGCGGCCGUAACUAUAACGGUCCUAAGGUAGCGAAAUUCCUUGUCGGGUAAGUUCCGACCCGCACGAAUGGCGUAACGAUGGCCACACUGUCUCCUCCCGAGACUCAGCGAAGUUGAAGUGGUUGUGAAGAUGCAAUCUACCCGCUGCUAGACGGAAAGACCCCGUGAACCUUUACUGUAGCUUUGCAUUGGACUUUGAAGUCACUUGUGUAGGAUAGGUGGGAGGCUUGGAAGCAGAGACGCCAGUCUCUGUGGAGUCGUCCUUGAAAUACCACCCUGGUGUCUUUGAGGUUCUAACCCAGACCCGUCAUCCGGGUCGGGGACCGUGCAUGGUAGGCAGUUUGACUGGGGCGGUCUCCUCCCAAAGCGUAACGGAGGAGUUCGAAGGUUACCUAGGUCCGGUCGGAAAUCGGACUGAUAGUGCAAUGGCAAAAGGUAGCUUAACUGCGAGACCGACAAGUCGGGCAGGUGCGAAAGCAGGACAUAGUGAUCCGGUGGUUCUGUAUGGAAGGGCCAUCGCUCAACGGAUAAAAGGUACUCCGGGGAUAACAGGCUGAUUCCGCCCAAGAGUUCAUAUCGACGGCGGAGUUUGGCACCUCGAUGUCGGCUCAUCACAUCCUGGGGCUGUAGUCGGUCCCAAGGGUAUGGCUGUUCGCCAUUUAAAGUGGUACGUGAGCUGGGUUUAAAACGUCGUGAGACAGUUUGGUCCCUAUCUGCAGUGGGCGUUGGAAGUUUGACGGGGGCUGCUCCUAGUACGAGAGGACCGGAGUGGACGAACCUCUGGUGUACCGGUUGUAACGCCAGUUGCAUAGCCGGGUAGCUAAGUUCGGAAGAGAUAAGCGCUGAAAGCAUCUAAGCGCGAAACUCGCCUGAAGAUGAGACUUCCCUUGCGGUUUAACCGCACUAAAGGGUCGUUCGAGACCAGGACGUUGAUAGGUGGGGUGUGGAAGCGCGGUAACGCGUGAAGCUAACCCAUACUAAUUGCCCGUGAGGCUUGACUCU
rnacentral:rRNA from 1 species